GAUGAACGCUAGCGGCAGGCCUAAUACAUGCAAGUCGAACGCUCAGUAGCAAUACUGGGAGUGGCGCACGGGUGCGUAACGCGUACACAAUCUACCUCUAAGCGGGGGACACCUCCUGGAAACGGGGAUUAAUACCGCAUAAUAUGCCGAAGUCGCAUGACUUUGGUAUUAAAGCAGCAAUGCACUUAGAGAUGAGUGUGCGUCCCAUUAGGUAGUUGGUGAGGUAACGGCUCACCAAGCCUAUGAUGGGUAGCCGGUCUGAGAGGAUGGUCGGCCACACGGGCACUGAGACACGGGCCCGACUCCUACGGGAGGCAGCAGUAAGGAAUAUUGGUCAAUGGUGGAAACACUGAACCAGCCAUGCCGCGUGGAGGAAUAAGGUCCUACGGAUUGUAAACUCCUUUUGACGAGGAAGAAAAUGUUAGAUUUAUCUAAUUUUGACGGUACUCGUAGAAUAAGCACCGGCUAACUCCGUGCCAGCAGCCGCGGU
rnacentral:rRNA from 1 species